UUCCUACGGGUGGCUGCAGUGGGGAAUAUUGCACAAUGGGGGAAACCCUGAUGCAGCAACGCCGCGUGAGUGAUGAAGGCCUUCGGGUUGUAAAGCUCUGUCUUCAGGGACGAUAAUGACGGUACCUGAGGAGGAAGCCACGGCUAACUACGUGCCAGCAGCCGCGGUAAUACGUAGGUGGCAAGCGUUGUCCGGAUUUACUGGGCGUAAAGGGAGCGUAGGCGGAUACUUAAGUGGGAUGUGAAAUACCUGGGCUUAACUUGGGUGCUGCAUUCCAAACUGGGUGUCUAGAGUGUUGGAGAGGAAAGUGGAAUUCCUAGUGUAGCGGUGAAAUGCGUAGAGAUUAGGAAGAACACCAGUGGCGAAGGCGACUUUCUGGACAAUAACUGACGCUGAGGCUCGAAAGCGUGGGGAGCAAACAGGAUUAGAUACCCUGGUAGUC
rnacentral:rRNA from 1 species